AUUGAACGCUGGCGGCAUGCCUUACACAUGCAAGUCGAACGGCAGCACGGGAGCAAUCCUGGUGGCGAGUGGCGAACGGGUGAGUAAUAUAUCGGAACGUGCCCAGUCGUGGGGAUAACGUAGCGAAAGCUACGCUAAUACCGCAUACGAUCUACGGAUGAAAGCGGGGGAUCGCAAGACCUCGCGCGAUUGGAGCGGCCGAUAUCAGAUUAGGUAGUUGGUGAGGUAAAGGCUCACCAAGCCGACGAUCUGUAGCUGGUCUGAGAGGACGACCAGCCACACUGGGACUGAGACACGGCCCAGACUCCUACGGGAGGCAGCAGUGGGGAAUUUUGGACAAUGGGCGCAAGCCUGAUCCAGCAAUGCCGCGUGCAGGAUG
rnacentral:rRNA from 1 species